rnacentral:rRNA from 1 species
GACGAACGCUGGCGGCAUGCCUAAUACAUGCAAGUCGAGCGAACAGAUGAAGUGCUUGCACUUCUGACGUUAGCGGCGAACGGGUGAGUAACACGUAAGGAAUCUACCUAUAAGCGGGGGAUAACAUUCGGAAACGGGUGCUAAUACCGCAUAAUAUCUUCUUCCGCAUGGAAGAAGAUUGAAAGACGGCUCUGCUGUCACUUAUAGAUGACCUUGCGGUGCAUUAGUUAGUUGGUGGGGUAAUGGCCUACCAAGAUGAUGAUGCAUAGCCGACCUGAGAGGGUGAUCGGCCACAUUGGGACUGAGACACGGCCCAAACUCCUACGGGAGGCAGCAGUAGGGAAUCUUCCGCAAUGGGCGAAAGCCUGACGGAGCAAUGCCGCGUGAGUGAAGAAGGCCUUCGGGUCGUAAAACUCUGUUAUAAGAGAAGAACAAAUUGUAGAGUAACUGCUACAGUCUUGACGGUAUCUUAUCAGAAAGCCACGGCUAACUACGUGCCAGCAGCCGCUGUAA